GAUGAACGCUGGCGGCGUGCCUAAUACAUGCAAGUCGAGCGAACAGACGAGGAGCUUGCUCCUCUGACUUUAUCGGCGGACGGGUGAGUAACACGUGGAUAACCUACCUAUAAGACUGGGAUAACUUCGGGAAACCGGAGCUAAUACCGGAUAAUAUAUUGAACCGCAUUGUUCAAUUGUUAAAGACGGUUUUUCUUUCUCUUAUAGAUUGAUCCGCGCCGCAUUAGCUAGUUGGUAAGGUAACGGCUUACCAAGGCAACGAUGCGUAGCCGACCUGAGAGGGUGAUCGGCCACACUGGAACUGAGACACGGUACAGACGACUACGGGAGGCAGCAGUAGGGAAUAUUCCGCAAUGGGCGAAAGCGUGACGGAGCAAAGCCGCGUGAGUGAUGAAGGUCUUCGGAUCGUAAAACUCUGUUAUUAGGGAAGAACAAAUGUGUAAGUAAAUAUGCACGUAUUGACGGUAACUAAUCAGAAAGCCACGGCUAACUACGUG
rnacentral:rRNA from 1 species